UUGAGUGCUGAUUUGGUAUACUAAGGUUUGAUCCCUCUGGAGGGGUUAUCAUCGGAUGUAUAUCAGACACGGCUAUUCUGUUACUAUCUGGUUAUUGUUUCGAUGGCUGUGGCAUGCAGGAUGUUUUGUCUACCCUAUUACUGCUUCUCAGCGUGUGACACUGUUGUAGUUACUCG